AGAGCCAUUCUAACCCCUCCCCUCCCUGCUGUGCUAGGAAGUCUCGCUGAGCCGUUGUGGGGACUUUCUCUGUCGCCUGCAGGGCACAAAUCACCGCUAUUACUUGGAAAAAUAUGGAGGUUUUGGGAGGAGCUGUGUUUGGCAGCACACCUGUGCCAUCUGCUGGCCAAGUAUAGUCAUUGCAGGAAUAAUUCAAAUGGAAGACCUCAGCCUUCUGGAUUACGCAGACCAUGUGGCAAAGGCUGACACUGGACCAAUGAAGGUAGGUAGACCACAGACAAACAAGGAAACCCUUUAUAAUCUCGAAACUCCUCAAGGGGCCUCUUGAAGUUCCUCAUGUCAAAAGUGGUCUGGUCAUUCCCAGUCACUGUAGAAGACAGUUUCUCUCAGGACAAUUAGAAGAUCCAUUGCCUAUAGUAAACAAUAAUAGCACUGUGGAUGACAAAUUAGUUAUUGAGGAUCAAUCAGUCAAUACUCGAGGAAACUAAAAACGUAUAUUUUGGCAAACUUCUAUACAGGAUCACAGACCCAAAGUACCAGUUCAAUUGAAUAAGGUAUUUUCUGAAUUCUAGACACUGGUUCUGAUAUGACCAUCAUAACUCAAAAAUUUUGGCCCUCAAGUUGGCCCUUAAAAGAAGCAAAUGUUCAGUUUUUAGGGAUUGAAACCCUAUCUCAAGUAAAACAAAGAACAAGUUGGGUUGAGUGUAUAGGGCCCGAAAGGCAAAAAGAAAAACUGAGGCCAUAUGUCACAGAUAUUGCUAUAAAUCUCUGGGGUCGUGAUUUAUUACAGCAAUGGAAGUCCCAGAUUAACAUUCCUCCUGUUAGACGUGAUGGCUGUUAUGGGUAUACCUGCACAAAUAAAAACUGACAAUUGCUCCAGCAUAUGUCUCCAGCAAAUCAGAACAGUUUCUCAAAUAUUAUAGCAUAAAACAUGUAACUGGUAUACCUAACAAUCCUACAGGACAAGCAGUGGUUGAGACAUCUAACUGCACCUUAAAAGAAAUGUUUCAUAAACAGCCAUGGGGGACAAGGACCCCCAAACAUAGAUUACAUAAUGCUUUACUAACAUUGAACUUUCUUAAUGCUAAUGAGAAAGGACAAACAGCAGCAGAAAGACACUGGACUACAGCAAAAACUUUUGAACUAAACCAACCAACGUAUUUCAAGGAUUAUGACCUCAGUUUGGAAACCAGGAUAUGUGUUACUUUGGGGAAGGAGUUUUGCCUUUGUUUCCAUAGAAGAAAAACUUUGGAUUCUGUCAAAAUUGAUCAAGCUUCAAUCUGAGCAGGAGAAACCUCAGGAGGAGGAAAGAUGACAGCUCAUCCACAAGGUCAUAUUCUACUAUGUGUAAGGAGACCUCAUAAAGGGAAAGGGAAGUAUUUUGUUUUUGUCUUCACAGGAAAACCCAU